rnacentral:tRNA from 1 species
AAAAUUUUAAGUUAAAGAAAAACUCUUAAUCUUCAAAAUUAAUAAUAUAUUAAUAAAAUAUAAAUUUUA